CUUGGAGACUUCAACGAGAUCCUCUUUGGGGGUGAGAAGGAAGGAGGGCCGGCUCGGGCCUAGGGUUGUAUGGAAGCUUUCCGAAGAUGCCUUGAACACUGUCGGUUGGAGGACCUGGGGUUUCUUGGAGAUCCUUUCACCUGGAGAAAGGGGUACACGCGGGAGAGACUGGACCGGGCAGUGGCGAAUGUGGUUUGGAGGUGUAUGUGCCCUCUGCAUAAGAUUAUUAACGAUGAUCCAAGACAUUCUGACCACCGCCCAAUCAUUGCUGAGCUUAACGGACAAAGUCUGCAGACGGCUGCGGGUCAGGGUCCAAAGUGCUUUCGAUUUGAGGCGCGGUGGCUCCAAGAAGAGGGAUGUGGCCAGGUGGUGGAGGAGGCUUGGAAUGAAGAUUUUCAGGAGGGGGUUGGUUCGGUGGGAGAGGCGGUGAGAGGUGGGUGCAAGAUUACUGAAGUGGGAUAG
rnacentral:rRNA from 1 species